UACGGGGGGGGCAAGCGUUGUUCGGAAUUACUGGGCGUAAAGGGCUCGUAGGUGGCCAACUAAGUCAGACGUGAAAUCCCUCGGCUUAACCGGGGAACUGCGUCUGAUACUGGAUGGCUUGAGUUUGGGAGAGGGAUGCGGAAUUCCAGGUGUAGCGGUGAAAUGCGUAGAUAUUGGGAGGAACACCAGUGGCGAAGGCGGCUCGCUGGACCGGAACUGACGCUGAGGCGCGAAAGCGUGGGGAGCAAACAGG
rnacentral:rRNA from 1 species